rnacentral:tRNA from 1 species
GCCCCGAUAGUAUAAAACUAUUACUUUGGUCUUGUAAACCAAAAAUGAGGGAGACCCCUCUCAGGACA